rnacentral:lncRNA from 1 species
UUAAAUGAAAAUAAAAGGAGUUUGACUAAAGAAAUCAAAUGCACAAUCAAAAAACUUUCAAGCAAUAAUUGUAUUUGUCUCUGGACCAUUCGGAUCCAGGAAGGAAUGAAGAGAAGGUCGAGGGAAGAAAAAAUGAGUUUGAACCCAAGGAGAAUAAAAGGAUAGGAGAUUGAAGUGAGAUGAAGUGAAUCCAAGAAACAUCCCUCUCCAGAUCUUGAUUUUCCUUUUAACUCUUUUAAUUAAUUUUUUCCUGCUAUUUCGUCUUAUGUCAAGGAUGAUUCUUAUCUUCAGAUCUGAAAUUGGGGGCAUUCAGACACUUUCAUCGGUACAAUUUAUGCUGAAGACUUCAAGUGAGAAGUACUACUUUUUAAUGGUUAUUUUCUAUUUCAAAAUUUAGUUGCUCUUCAUGGAUAGAUUUUCACCUUGUCCAAUAAUGUAUAAUAAUAGAAAUGGUGGAUGUUCUGCCAAAGGUGGGGAAAGAGUUAAAAGCAUACCAAACUAUAGAGACAUUGAGAAAGUUUUUUUUUUUUUUUAAUGAUGUUGAAUAUUUGGUGGCCUUUGGGAGAUCUUCAGAAGCCAUUGUUGGAUAUUGGAUAACCUAUAGGAGGAUGCUGGCGGCAAGAGUUAAUUGGGGUCUCCUUUCUUUGUUUUAUCCAUUGUUUUGGAAGAAAAAAGGUUGGAGUCUAAUAAGAUUCUUGCUUGAUGUUCUGCA